rnacentral:rRNA from 1 species
AUUGAACGCUGGCGGCAUGCCUUACACAUGCAAGUCGAACGGCAGCACGGGGGCAACCCUGGUGGCGAGUGGCGAACGGGUGAGUAACAUAUCGGAACAUACCCUAGAGUGGGGAUAACGUAGCGAAAGUUACGCUAAUACCGCAUACGAUCUAAGGAUGAAAGUGGGGGAUCUUCGGACCUCAUGCUCAUGGAGUGGCCGAUAUCUGAUUAGCUAGUUGGUGAGGUAAAGGCUCACCAAGGCGACGAUCAGUAGCUGGUUUGAGAGAACGACCAGCCACACUGGAACUGGGACACGGUCCAGACUCCUACGGGAGGCAGCAGUGGGGAAUUUUGGGACAAUGGGGGCAAGCCUGAUCCAGCAAUGCCGCGUGAGUGAAGAAGG